GCCUUCCGGGGAGGGGAUUGACGUCUCCUCCGCCCAAUGGGACUCUCCUGGUCGGCGGGUGGGUGAGCGGGGUCCUGUGUAAUGGCGGAACGCGGCGGGGACGGGGGGGACGGUGAGCGAUACAACGCGGGGGAGCUCAGAAUGGCUCAACAGCAAGCGUUGAGGUUUCGUGGUCCAGCUCCCCCACCAAAUGCAGUCAUGCGAGGUCCACCACCUCUGAUGCGUCCACCUCCACCUUUUGGGAUGAUGAGAGGUCCACCUCCACCACCUCGACCUCCCUUUGGUCGUCCUCCUUUUGAUCCUAAUAUGCCACCAAUGCCUCCUCCAGGAGGAAUUCCUCCACCUAUGGGCCCUCCACAUCUACAGAGACCACCUUUUAUGCCUCCUCCCAUGGGAACUAUGCCCCCACCUCCUGGCAUGAUGUUUCCACCUGGAAUGCCUCCAGUUACUGCCCCUGGUACACCAACAUUACCUCCCACUGAGGAAAUAUGGGUAGAAAACAAAACUCCAGAUGGAAAGGUUUAUUAUUAUAAUGCUCGGACACGUGAGUCUGCAUGGACCAAACCAGAUGGAGUUAAAGUUAUUCAGCAAUCAGAACUGACUCCUAUGCUGGCUGCCCAGGCUCAGGCUCAGGCGCAGGCCCAGGCUCAGGCCCAGGCUCAGGCUCAGGCGCAGGCCCAGGCCCAGGCCCAGGCGCAGGCCCAGGCUCAGGCCCAGGCUCAGGCUCAGGCACAGGCUCAGGCACAGGCUCAGGCACAAGCCCAGGCCCAGGCUCAGGCACAGGCACAGGCCCAGGCACAGGCUCAGGCCCAGGCCCAGGCUCAGGCCCAGGCCCAGGCCCAGGCACAGGCCCAGGCACAGGCCCAGGCACAGGCUCAGGCACAGGCCCAGGCACAGGCUCAGGCACAGGCACAGGCACAGGCUCAGGCCCAGGCCCAGGCCCAGGCCCAGGCACAAGCCCAAGCCCAGGCUCAGGCUCAAGUACAAGCUCAAGUACAAGCUCAAGCUGUAAAUGCAUCCACUCCUACAACUAGUAGCCCAGCAUCAGUGGUUUCUACUUCAGCGCCAUCAUCUACCCAGUCUUCUACCACUUCUACAACAACAACAACUGCAACUUCAGUUUCACAAACUGUGUCAAGAGCUGAGCUGUUAACUCUACAGGGUGUGUCUGACUCCCAAAAUAUACUUGCACCUACCACACAAGAUCAGACACCAAGUUCUGCUGUUUCAGUUGCCACACCUUCAGUUAGCGUUUCAACUCCAGCUCCUACAGCUACACCUGUACAGACUGUUCCCCAGCCACACCCCCAGACAUUGCCUCCUGCAGUUCCUCAUUCAGUACCUCAGCCAACAGCGGCAAUACCUGCUUUUCCACCAGUAAUGGUACCUCCAUUUCGUGUCCCCCUUCCGGGCAUGCCUAUUCCACUACCAGGUGUAGCAAUGAUGCAAAUAGUCAGCUGCCCGUAUGUAAAGACAGUCGCUACCACCAAGACCGGUGUAUUGCCAGGAAUGGCCCCUCCUAUUGUACCCAUGAUACAUCCCCAGGUUGCUAUUGCUGCUUCACCUGCUACCUUAGCUGGAGCAACAGCAGUUUCUGAAUGGACAGAAUACAAAACAGCAGAUGGAAAGACAUAUUAUUAUAAUAAUAGGACAUUAGAAUCAACCUGGGAAAAACCCCAAGAACUAAAGGAAAAAGAAAAAUUAGAAGAAAAAAUCAAAGAGCCAAUCAAAGAGCCUCCUGAGGAACCUCUACCAAUGGAGACAGAGGAAGAGGAGCCCAAAGAAGAACCCAUAAAAGAGAUCAAGGAGGAGCCCAAAGAAGAAGAGAUGACAGAAGAAGAAAAGGCUGCCCAGAAAGCAAAGCCAGUAGCGACUACACCCAUUCCUGGCACUCCAUGGUGUGUUGUUUGGACUGGUGAUGAACGAGUUUUCUUUUAUAACCCCACAACUCGUCUCUCUAUGUGGGACAGACCUGAUGAUCUGAUUGGAAGAGCUGAUGUUGACAAAAUUAUUCAGGAACCCCCUCACAAGAAAGGAAUGGAAGAAGGAAAGAAACUAAGGCACCAGACUCCGACCAUGCUGUCUAUCCAAAAGUGGCAGUUCUCUAUGAGUGCAAUUAAAGAAGAGCAAGAAUCAAUAGAAGAAGCAAAUGAAGAUGAACCAAUUAAAGCUAAAAAGCGGAAGAAAGAUGAUAACAAAGACAUUGAUUCGGAGAAAGAGGCUGCCAUGGAAGCCGAAAUUAAAGCUGCCCGAGAAAGGGCCAUUGUCCCUCUGGAGGCCCGAAUGAAGCAGUUCAAGGAUAUGCUUCUAGAGAGAGGGGUUUCUGCCUUUUCAACAUGGGAGAAAGAGCUGCACAAGAUAGUUUUUGAUCCACGUUACUUACUUCUUAAUCCUAAAGAGAGGAAACAGGUUUUUGAUCAAUAUGUGAAGACUCGAGCAGAAGAAGAACGAAAGGAAAAGAAAAACAAAAUUAUGCAAGCAAAGGAAGAUUUCAAGAAAAUGAUGGAAGAAGCAAAGUUUAAUCCGAGAGCUACUUUUAGUGAAUUUGCAGCCAAGCAUGCUAAAGACUCCAGAUUCAAAGCAAUUGAAAAGAUGAAAGAUCGAGAGGCCUUAUUUAAUGAAUUUGUAGCAGCUGCAAGAAAGAAAGAAAAAGAAGACUCGAAGACCAGAGGUGAGAAGAUCAAAUCGGACUUCUUUGAACUACUAUCUAAUCACCACUUGGAUAGUCAAUCUCGAUGGAGCAAAGUAAAGGACAAAGUAGAAAGUGACCCACGUUACAAAGCAGUAGAUAGUUCAUCAAUGAGAGAAGACCUUUUUAAACAGUAUAUUGAAAAAAUAGCCAAGAAUUUAGACUCAGAAAAAGAAAAGGAACUGGAGAGGCAAGCCCGAAUAGAAGCAAGUUUACGGGAACGGGAGAGAGAGGUUCAGAAAGCUCGUUCAGAACAAACAAAAGAAAUAGAUCGAGAAAGAGAGCAACAUAAACGUGAAGAAGCAAUUCAGAAUUUCAAGGCUCUUCUUUCUGACAUGGUUCGUUCUUCAGAUGUGUCAUGGUCUGAUACUCGGAGAACUCUCCGAAAAGAUCAUCGAUGGGAAUCUGGCUCUUUGCUAGAAAGAGAAGAGAAGGAGAAGCUUUUCAAUGAACACAUUGAAGCACUUACCAAAAAGAAGAGGGAACACUUUAGACAACUUCUGGAUGAAACUUCAGCGAUUACACUCACAUCCACUUGGAAAGAAGUUAAAAAAAUUAUUAAGGAAGAUCCACGGUGCAUUAAGUUCUCCUCCAGUGACAGAAAAAAACAAAGGGAAUUUGAAGAGUACAUCAGAGAUAAAUAUAUUACUGCCAAAGCUGACUUCAGGACACUUUUGAAAGAGACCAAAUUUAUAACAUACAGUUAAUUUAGUGAAAGAUGUGAAAGUGAAAGCUUGUGAAAGAUGCUGGGAUUGGCAGCCCCGCAGACUGAAGUCCUCUGUUCAUCCACAGAACAGAUCCAAAAAAUUAAUCCAGGAGUCUGAUCAGCACUUGAAAGAUGUAGAAAAGAUUUUGCAGAAUGAUAAGCGAUAUUUGGUACUUGACUGUGUGCCAGAGGAGAGGCGCAAACUCAUUGUGGCAUAUGUUGAUGACCUGGAUCGACGAGGUCCACCUCCACCUCCAACAGCCUCAGAACCUACAAGACGAUCAACAAAAUAAUUCUGACAUAACUCUUCACACCAAGGGUAUCUAUUAAUUCAAAAUGCUUGCAUGAGCCACCCAUCAGAUUUUUACAUAAACAUAUAUGAGUCAACCUAUUACAAAACCAUCUGAAGAGUGGAGGAAGGAGCUGCAUUUGUGAACAUGGUUUUUGAACAAAGAACUCUGGAAAUAUUUAUGCUUUUCUUUGUGUGGCAUGACUGACAUACUCAAACAUCUAGACUGUCUCUAGUAAAUAUAAAAGCUUGGAACUAAAGAUUAUCCUUAUAUGAGGUGUGGAAGUCAGUGAUUUUUGAUGACAUUCUUCCUAGCAGUGUUAUAUAUGCAAGACCCAAGGAGUGGUUUAUGGUCUGAACUUGUAAGAUACAAGUGCCACAAACUUGGAACAAAUCCAAGUUGUUUUUGUAAAGCAGGUAAAAGAAAAACAUUGCUAAUUAAAUUCUCAGCUGGCAGAGGCUAAGAAUAUUGUAAUGCUCCUGCUUUUGCCCCAAGUCUCUAGAGACCAGUUUAGUUUGAAUUUGUUCACAGAUGUGCUUUGAUUAUCCCUCUGGAUUAUAGGCAGGAAUCUGGUUGCUUUGUCUAAGUGAAGAUUUUUCUGGUAAUUUCUUCUUGGAUAUGGAAACACAGUUGAUAACAAUGCUUACCAGAACAGGACGGUUGUAUAAACACAUUUUUAUUCACCAUAGAAGUAUCUAUAUCAAUUUCUGGAUUAGAGAGUUAAUUGCCCUUCUGGGUAAUCCUUGUAAACUAUACUCCUGUUUGAAUGUUAAACUUGUGUUUCUAAAGUUUAAUUUUGAAAUGUUUGAAUUGUUCAGUUUAUGUAUUUGAACUACAAUAAACCAACCCUUUUUAUAUGUGGAUUGUAUAUGCUUAAUGUUAAAUAACCUGUAAAGAAAAUUUGUUUUAAAAUUUGUUCUUAAAAGAAGCAGAAAAUGGAAACUGCACAAAUGAAAUCUGCUUUAAAAA